UGGGGAAUUUUGGACAAUGGGCGAAAGCCUGAUCCAGCAAUGCCGCGUGUGUGAAGAAGGCCUUCGGGUUGUAAAGCACUUUUGUCCGGAAAGAAAUCCUUGGCUCUAAUACAGUCGGGGGAUGACGGUACCGGAAGAAUAAGCACCGGCUAACUACGUGCCAGCAGCCGCGGUAAUACGUAGGGUGCAAGCGUUAAUCGGAAUUACUGGGCGUAAAGCGUGCGCAGGCGGUUUGCUAAGACCGAUGUGAAAUCCCCGGGCUCAACCUGGGAACUGCAUUGGUGACUGGCAGGCUAGAGUAUGGCAGAGGGGGGUAGAAUUCCGCGUGUAGCAGUGAAAUGCGUAGAGAUGUGGAGGAAUACCGAUGGCGAAGGCAGCCCCCUGGGCCAAUACUGACGCUCAUGCACGAAAGCGUGGGGAGCAAACAGGAUUAGAUACCCUGGUAGUCCACGCCCUAAACGAUGUCAACUAGUUGUUGGGGAUUCAUUUCCUUAGUAACGUAGCUAACGCGUGAAGUUGACCGCCUGGGGAGUACGGUCGCAAGAUUAAAACUCAAAUGAAUUGACGGGGUCAUAGCUGUUUCCU
rnacentral:rRNA from 1 species